rnacentral:rRNA from 1 species
UUCGCCCUUAGAGUUUGAUCCUGGCUCAGGACGAACGCUGGCGGCGCGCCUAACACAUGCAAGUCGAACGAGCGAGAGAGAGCUUGCUUUCUUGAGCGAGUGGCGAACGGGUGAGUAACGCGUGAGGAACCUGCCUCAAAGAGGGGGACAACAGUUGGAAACGACUGCUAAUACCGCAUAAGCCCACGGCUCGGCAUCGAGCAGAGGGAAAAGGAGCAAUCCGCUUUGAGAUGGCCUCGCGUCCGAUUAGCUGGUUGGUGAGGUAACGGCCCACCAAGGCGACGAUCGGUAGCCGGACUGAGAGGUUGAACGGCCACAUUGGGACUGAGACACGGCCCAGACUCCUACGGGAGGCAGCAGUGGGGAAUAUUGCACAAUGGGGGAAACCCUGAUGCAGCGACGCCGCGUGGAGGAAGAAGGUCUUCGGAUUGUAAACUCCUGUUGUUGAGGAAGAUAAUGACGGUACUCAACAAGGAAGUGACGGCUAACUACGUGCCAGCAGCCGCGGUAAAACGUAGGUCACAAGCGUUGUCCGGAAUUACUGGGUGUAAAGGGAGCGCAGGCGGGAAGACAAGUUGGAAGUGAAAUCCAUGGGCUCAACCCAUGAACUGCUUUCAAAACUGUUUUUCUUGAGUAGUGCAGAGGUAGGCGGAAUUCCCGGUGUAGCGGUGGAAUGCGUAGAUAUCGGGAGGAACACCAGUGGCGAAGGCGGCCUACUGGGCACCAACUGACGCUGAGGCUCGAAAGUGUGGGUAGCAAACAGGAUUAGAUACCCUGGUAGUCCACACUGUAAACGAUGAUUACUAGGUGUUGGAGGAUUGACCCCUUCAGUGCCGCAGUUAACACAAUAAGUAAUCCACCUGGGGAGUACGACCGCAAGGUUGAAACUCAAAGGAAUUGACGGGGGCCCGCACAAGCAGUGGAGUAUGUGGUUUAAUUCGACGCAACGCGAAGAACCUUACCAAGUCUUGACAUCCUGCGACGGUGCUGGAAACAGUACUUUCCUUCGGGACGCAGAGACAGGUGGUGCAUGGUUGUCGUCAGCUCGUGUCGUGAGAUGUUGGGUUAAGUCCCGCAACGAGCGCAACCCCUAUGUUCAGUAGCCAGCAGGUAGAGCUGGGCACUCUGGACAGACUGCCGGGGAUAACCCGGAGGAAGGCGGGGAUGACGUCAAAUCAUCAUGCCCCUUACGGCCUGGGCUACACACGUGCUACAAUGGCGUAAACAAAGGGAAGCGAAAGGGUGACCUGGAGCGAAUCUCAAAAAUAACGUCCCAGUUCGGACUGUAGUCUGCAACCCGACUACACGAAGCUGGAAUCGCUAGUAAUCGCGAAUCAGCAUGUCGCGGUGAAUACGUUCCCGGGUCUUGCACACACCGCCCGUCA